UACGUAGGGGGCUAGCGUUGUCCGGAUUUAUUGGGCGUAAAGAGCGUGUAGGCGGCCAGGUAGGUCUGCUGUGAAAACUCGAGGCUCAACCUCGAGACGUCGGCGGAAACCAUCUGGCUAGAGUCCGGAAGAGGAGAGUGGAAUUCCUGGUGUAGCGGUGAAAUGCGCAGAUAUCAGGAAGAACACCCGUGGCGAAGGCGGCUCUCUGGGUGGAUACUGACGCUGAGGUGCGAAAGCGUGGGGAGCAAACAGG
rnacentral:rRNA from 1 species